GAGCAAGCAGUGCAUAUAAUACACACGUAUGACAAGAUUUAUACUGUUUUGACAAUUACUCUUUUAACUUUCAAGUAGUAGAUCUGUAAUCUUCUAUCACCACUACGCCAUUCCGUUUUUCUCUCUCCUGUUUAGAGAGAGAAACCUGUCACUCCCUGCUCCUCUUACUCUACUAAGCAAACCCACUUCGCUAAAUGCUUCAAAACCCUACUGAUUUCUGAGCCCAUUGUGUGUUUUUCUUGGGGAAAAGCGGAUUUUCUUGAAGACCCAUUAAGGUUUUUGAGGAUUUGGGUUCUUGGGUUUGAGUUUUCUUGAAGAAACAGAGGAGAAAAAUGGAUGCAUAUGAAGCAAGUAGUUUGGUUUAUGCGAAGAUCAAGAACUUGGAGCCUGAAAAUGCUUCGAAAAUCAUGGGGUUUCUUCUCAUUCAAGACCUUGGCGAUAAGGAGUUGAUUCGUUUGGCUUUUGGCCCUGAAACCCUUUUGCAUUCAUUGAUUUUGAAGGCCAAAGCUCAUUUAGGGUUUUCUUUGAACUCUUCUUCUUCUUCUUCUUCAACGCCCUCUUCGCCUUCGCCUCUUAAUCCCAUCGCUAGACCUUCCAACACUAACCCUUUCUCUCAAUCUAAAAACCCUUGUUCUUCUUCUUCCUCAACAAGUUCUUGGUCGUUUUCAGGAAUCACUAACAAUGUCAUUAGCCCUAAAUCCACUUCCCUUCUUUCUUAUGACUGUAUUCGAGCUCCCCCUUUUUCAAUGCCUCCAUUUUUGCAGCUCAAAAAUGGGUUUGGAGAUUCUGAAGUCGGUGAAGAGCCGCAAGUUAACGAUUACCUUUCGUUUCUAAACGAGUCGUCUUCUUCAAGAGGUGAGCAGAAUUGGACUCAAUCUAUGGAUAAUGCUGAGACCCCUUUUCAUAGAAGAAGCUACUCUGCUAGUGAUGUUUGUUUUGGCUCAGAAGAUGGAGGAUUUGGAGUUGGUUAUAAGCCUUGUCUUUACUUUGCUAGAGGGUUUUGUAAAAAUGGUAGCAAUUGCAAGUUCUUGCAUGGCGAUUUCCCUGACUUGGUUGAUCCUUCUGCUGCCAUUGUUGGGUCUCCUAGCAAACUAGAGGGCUUGUUUGAUCAACGUGAGGAGUUCAUGAGAUAUAAGGCUGCUCAACAACAGAGAUUAGCCACUGCUUCUGAGUUCAUGGCUGGAGUUUCACCUUCUCAGUAUAACAAAUACAUCAAUUUUCUACUUCAACAGCAGAAUGAAACUCAUAGAGCUACAGCAGCAGCGCUCAUGAUGGGAGAUGAGUAUCAAAAGUUUGGCAUUUCCAGGAAUGAAAGGAACGAUUUCUUGGCUUUGGCUGCCGAGAAGCGAAAUUCGGCGUCGAGACAGAUUUAUUUGACAUUCCCAGCCGAUAGCACCUUCAAGGAUGAAGAUGUCUCAGAGUAUUUCAGCAAAUUUGGGCCUGUGCAAGAUGUUAGGAUUCCGUACCAACAGAAGAGGAUGUUCGGGUUCGUUACGUUUGUCUAUCCAGAAACGGUAAAACAUAUAUUGGCAAAGGGGAACCCUCAUUUCAUAUGCGAAUCACGAGUACUUGUGAAACCAUACAAAGAGAAGGGAAAAGUUCCAGAAAAGAGGCAGCAGCAUCAACAACCGCAACUCGAGAGGGGAGACUUUUCUCCUUGUUUGAGUCCCUCUGGAAUGGACGCUCGGGAUCCUUACGACCUAAACCUCGGCGCAAGAAUGAUGUAUAACACUCAAGGGAUGAUGUUGCGUAGGAAAUUAGAAGAGCAAGCUGAGUUGCAGCAAGCACUCGAACUUCAGGGAAGAAGGCUAUUGAAUCUCCAGCUUCCCGACUUGAAGAACGAUCAGCUACACCACCAUCACCCACACAAUUUACCUAUCUGUUCUCCAUUAUCCACCGAAUUGCAUAAUCAAAUGAAUCAGAAUAUUUAUCCUCCUGAUUUUAUUAACCAAGAAGCUUCUGAAGGUCAUGAGAAUAACCAAGUAACUACCAACAAUGCGAUGAGCACGCCGCAAAACUUUCAGCUGGAAGAGAAUCCUUGUUUUAUCCAAAGCAACAACACUGGGAAAGCCAUGGACGACGGCUACAACUCCAAACUGCUCGAAAUCCACAAAAGUGUUGAGCAGGUCCUUCCUGAUAGCCCAUUUGCUUCUCCUAAAAAAUCUGCAUCGGGCCAACAUCCCGACUUUUCUUCUGUUAAAGCGGACGGGUGUGGUCCCAAUACAUUACCGUCAUCUUCUCAGAGCAACGCAUCACUGGCUACCGGUCUUGCUGGUGACAUAGCUGCCCCUUAAUUAACCUUUUACCCCACAGCUGAAUGGCAAGGUUUCUAUUCCUUGUGUGAAUCUUUUAAAAUAUAGGCAAUAACUACAAGAGCAUGGCCAGCAAAUAUCAACAACGUUAGGAAAAAAAUUAGAAAAGCGUAUAGCAGGCAGAAGAAUCAUCCCCCGGAUGUAUAGCGAAAUUAUACCUACUUCGAAGAGUAGAUCUAUUACUACUAUAGAGAGAAGAUCUCCACAAGUAUCAUCUUCAUCAAUUUUACAUACUCCUAACAGCAAAUACAUAUAUAAAUUCAUACAUUUAGGACAGAUGAUUUGGUUUAUGAGAGUUGAGUUAGGGUCUUCUGUGUUUAUUAUUAUUAUUAUCUUGUGCUGGACCAUGCUGACUAAAGAACUACGGUCGUCGGGUCGGGUUAACUCCGUUUUACAUUUUGCAUCUACACAUAAGUUCUUCUGUUUGUUCUUGGCAUUAUUCAUAGUUAGGUAGAAUUUGAAGUUUGUGUGAAAGCUCACAAGAGCCUGUUGUGUAUAUAGUAGUAGGGUUCUUAGUGGAUAUAAGAAGACUUGAGAAAUUUGUUGUAGCGGACA